CGUCUGGUCUGGGACUGUUUUUGAGGCAGGACUCAUCCACCCAAACAUGGUGGUGCUGCGUCCCUCUGACGGGCUCAUGUUACCGGGUGGAGCAGCAUUCAAAUCCUAACUCUCCUCUCCCUCCCAAUAAGGUAAAACCACGACAUGAGAGUUGUCUGGGGGGGCGGCGGCGGCGGCGGCAGCGGCGUCUGACAUCAGCCCCUGGGAGUGUCCGCUGGUCGAACCUGUGAAACCGGAUCUGCAGAGAUGUGUCUCACCGCGGAGGUGCUGCUGCAGACAACAGGCUGUGGAGGAGGUUCUGAUUCUGCUCCGGUACCGAGCUCGGUCCAAAACAGGUGCUGAGAUAAAUGUGGAUCAGAAACAGAAUCGUCAAUAUAAAAUAUUGAUCUUUGACUUCAGGGUGACGGUGGACUGAUCUGACUCUUCAUGACAGUCUGUUGUGUUUGAUGAUAAACCAGUUUAAAGGAGCUCUCACUGGUUUGACUCCCAGUCCUCAGACUGGACUCUCUGUUUGACUCCAUGAGUCUCGGUGGUUUCUGUGCUUCUUCCCUGAUUUCUGCCUGUCAGGCUUUUGGCUGCUGCAGAAACGUGGGACUGUUUCUUUAGUAAAGAAUAUGACCAGGUCCAGGUCCUGGUCUGGGUCCAGGUCCGGUCCUGGUCUGGGUCCAGGUCCGGUCCGGGUCCGUCCACACGCUGGGUUCAUUCUAAGUUCACCUGAGAGAGACGAACACAGAGGAGAGGAACCAGAACUCACCUGAGAGGGAGACACACAGACAGAGGACUGUGAGUGUGUGUGUGUGUGUGUGUGUGUGUGUGUGUGUGUGUGUGUGUGUGUGUGUGUGUGUGUGUGUGUUUGGGGGGAGAGAAGAGAAAAAAAGAGAGAGAGAGCUGCUCUUUUUCUGGGUAAAAAGGAAAAGAGAUGAAUGACUGAACAUCCCUUUAAGGCGACUCUGCCCCUUUAAUUAAACUCUUAUCUGUGCGCGCACACACACACACACACACACACACACACACACACACACACAGUGCUUAACCCCCCCCCCCUGCUGUGUGGUCACUCUCUGUUUUGCCUCCACUCAGCAGCAGAGACCAAGAGCCCGCUGUUACAGCCAAUCAGAGCCCAGAUUUUGCUCCUGGAGCUCUGUGAUUGGCUGACUGUGCUGAGGAGUUUAACUGAGGAUAUCUGGUCCCUGUUGACUCAGUAACAGACCAGCAGAGACUGGAGUGUGUGUGUGUGUGUGUGUGUGUGUGUGUGUGUGUGUGUGUGUGUGUGUGUGUGUGUGUGUGUUAGUCAUAAAUUGUUGAAUCUGCUGAUUUGCAUAAAGAUCAUAGAUCUUAAUUAAUAUAGAUCACUAACCCUCCUCUUCAGUGAGGUGAAAUCUUAGAGUGUUUAUUAGUCGAUCCAGUCUGUGGGUGAAAUCUGAACCUUGACUUCUGAUUGGCUCGUUUCAUCGAUCACCUUUCCCUGUUUUUGAUUGGUCAGCCUCUUAUCGAUCCUCCGGACUUGAACCUUCAGAGAGAAGAUCUAUGAAGGACCCAUCUCUGGAGUUCACCUGACACGGUCUGUGCAGUGAUCAGAGUCUCCUGAGGGUGAGAACGUCAGUCUGCUGCUGCUGAAGGUUCGAUGAGGACUCUGAGAACAUGAGGAGGCUCUUUAACAGGCUGAAGGACAGAUGAGGUGAAGACCUG